rnacentral:lncRNA from 9 species
AGAACAAUGCUAUCCAAAGGACAAGACCACACAUCCAGGGCACUCAAGUUAGAAAGGCAGAAUGAAAGUUUCAAAAGUGAUUGAAGGGAUUAACAAGAGAAUGUUAAGAACUCAACAUAUCUGCACUAUGGUCAAGAUUUGGAAUCUAGAGUUGGAAAGACCUGUGUUUAAAGCCCUUUAAUCUGAGAUUUUCCAGAAGGAUCAUAUUAUCUCUGGUCCCUGAAGAGAUGGCUUCACCCACUGACUUAAGAAUUGAUGCUAUGUUUGAGCAUUUAUGUAAUACUUAAUUCUAAAGUUGCUGUUUUCAAAUGCACUGCCAUAUCUUUGGUAAAAGCCCUGCUAUAACAUGUGCCAUGUGGAUUAUCAUUUUGUAUAUAAGAAGCCAUGAGAAUGUUUGGAACACUGAGGGAAUUUGCACAAUUACUUCUGCCAGAUAAUUUAUUUCCUAACAUUCAUUUCCAUUUUUGCAUUAAUA